rnacentral:rRNA from 1 species
UAUAUCCCCACACUGGAAUGGACCGGCCCAGAUCUCUUACGGAGGCACGCAGUGGGGAAAUUUUCGCACAAUUGGGCGCACGCCUGAUCCAGCCCAUGCCGCGUGAGUGAAGAAGGCCUUCGGUUUUGUAAAGCUUCUUUCGGCUUGGGAAGAAAUUCGCAUUCUCUAAUACGGGGUGGGGAUGACGGUACCAGCAUAAAGAAGCACCGGGCUAACUACGUGCCAGCAGCCGCGGUAAUACGUAGGGUGCGAGCGUUAAUCGGAAUUACUGGGCGUAAAGCGUGCGCAGGCGGUUUCGUAAGACAGAGGUGAAAUCCCCGGGCUCAACCUGGGAACUGCCUUUGUGACUGCGAGGCUAGAGUAUGGCAGAGGGGGGUGGAAUUCCACGUGUAGCAGUGAAAUGCGUAGAGAUGUGGAGGAACACCGAUGGCGAAGGCAGCCCCCUGGGCCAAUACUGACGCUCAUGCACGAAAGCGUGGGGAGCAAACAGGAUUAGAUACCCUGGUAGUCCACGCCCUAAACGAUGUCAACUAGGUGUUGGGUGGGUUAAACCAUUUAGUACCGUAGCUAACGCGUGAAGUUGACCGCCUGGGGAGUACGGCCGCAAGGUUAAAACUCAAAGGAAUUGACGGGGACCCGCACAAGCGGUGGAUGAUGUGGAUUAAUUCGAUGCAACGCGAAAAACCUUACCUACCC